UAGGGAAUCUUCGGCAAUGGACGAAAGUCUGACCGAGCAACGCCGCGUGAGUGAAGAAGGUUUUCGGAUCGUAAAACUCUGUUGUUAGAGAAGAACAAGGACGUUAGUAACUGAACGUCCCCUGACGGUAUCUAACCAGAAAGCCACGGCUAACUACGUGCCAGCAGCCGCGGUAAUACGUAGGUGGCAAGCGUUGUCCGGAUUUAUUGGGCGUAAAGCGAGCGCAGGCGGUUUCUUAAGUCUGAUGUGAAAGCCCCCGGCUCAACCGGGGAGGGUCAUUGGAAACUGGGAGACUUGAGUGCAGAAGAGGAGAGUGGAAUUCCAUGUGUAGCGGUGAAAUGCGUAGAUAUAUGGAGGAACACCAGUGGCGAAGGCGGCUCUCUGGUCUGUAACUGACGCUGAGGCUCGAAAGCGUUGGGAGCAAACA
rnacentral:rRNA from 1 species